rnacentral:misc_RNA from 1 species
CGAACCUCGGGCUCCCCGGAGCUUGGCGUUGGGUGCGGCCCCCAAAAUCGGGGGCCCUCCUCAAAACCAGUGGCGGCCGCGGCCCGGUCCCGAGCGCAGUAGACUUCUCUCGCUCCGGGGCCUGGGCUGCGUGCCCUGCCAGCAAGGCGUCAGCCGUACCCCAAG